AGACUUUGAGAGCUCCCUUCACCCCCACUGUUUCGGCCACACCACAAGAAAAACCAAAUCAAUUUCUAGCUCUUCUAAAAAUACUUCUUUGGUAUAGACCCACUAUAUUGAAGUCCCUAAGUAGCGUGGAAGUAUCGUUUGGGUCAUCCAACCAUUAGUAGUGCCCAUUUGCAAACCCUAGCUAUUGAUGGAAGUGAAGAACAAAGACCUUGGGGAGCCCGAGGCGUAGAUUGGAUAUUUAAUUAAGAUUGACUAUCUUGGAGUGCGUAUGAGGUACCGACGCACAGUUUGGUGAUCCACCGCUUUAGGACACCCCUUUUUGCUGUUGGAGUGCUCUUCUCCUUUCAGAGCAGACCUUUUGGUAUACACUUUUGUUCGCUAUGUUUGUAUAUAUUCGUUCAUGGGUACGGCGGGACCCUGUCCCGCCAUAUGAUUCGUUUGGUAUGUUUAGAGGUCUGUAGACUUAUUUAUGGGUGUGUGUGCCUACUUCUGUUCAGUUGUGUUUAUAUGACUCUAUUCGUUAUGGCAGCCUUGUCGGCGUGCGUUUGUAUAUGUGUUUUGGGCCGUGGUGCCAUUUGAUAGCCUUG